GACGAACGCUGGCGGCGUGCUUAACACAUGCAAGUCGAACGGACGGGCCAUGCUUUUGUGGGGUGCUCGUGUGGCGCACGGGUGAGUAUAACGCGAGUAUACUGCCCCUGUCUUUGGGAUAAAUUCAGGUAACUGGGGCUCUUAUCGGAUAGGAGCUCCUGCUGCACGGUGGGGGAUGGAAAGAUUCGGCGGUUGGGGAUGGACUCGCGGCUUAUCAGCUUGUUGGUGGGGUAGUGGCUUACCAAGGCUUUGACGGGUAGCCGGCCUGAGAGGGUGACCGGCCACAAGGCGACUGAGAGACGGCCCAGACGCCUACGGGAGGCAGCAGGGGGGAAUAUGGCACAAUGGGCGGAAGCCAGAGACAGCAACGCCGCGUGCGGGAUGACGGCUUUCGGGUUGUAAACCGCUGUCUCCUGAGACGAAGCGAGAGUGACGGUAAUGAGUAAGGAAGCACCGGCUAACUACGUG
rnacentral:rRNA from 1 species